rnacentral:lncRNA from 1 species
UUUCUACCUCUUCAAGUUAUUGUUGGGUCCAUCUUGAUUAAAGAGGAAGAUCCAAAGUUUUCUGUCGUAGUUGCACCCCAAAAGGCUAAGAUCAAGAAAGGGAAGAAAAAGAAAAAUCAAAAUCAAAAUCAAAGUCAAAAUGAAAAUGAAAAAAAUCAAAAUCAAAAUAAAAAAAACAAAAAGAAGAAAGAAGAAAAAAUCAAAAUCAAGAUCAAAACAAAAAUGAGAAAAAGAAAGAAGAAUGAAAAAAGAGAAACCUAGAUGAAAAAAUCAGAAUGAAAAAGAAAAGAAAAAGAAAAAGAGAGGCCAAAGCGAAAACUCGCAAAGGGCGCUUUGUGACCAAAUAAGGUUUUGAGUUGAAAACCAGAAAAGGGCGACUCAAAUUUCGAG